rnacentral:rRNA from 2 species
AGAGUUUGAUCAUGGCUCAGAACGUACGCUGGCGGCACGCCUAACACAUGCAAGUCGAACGAAGUAGCAAUACUUAGUGGCAGACGGGUGAGUAACAUGUAGGUAUCUGCCCUUUGGCCUGGAAUAACACGAGGAAACUUGUGCUAAUACCGGAUAAGUCUUUACGGAGAAAGCUUUAUGCACCAUUGGAUGAGCCUGCACUUGAUUAGUUUGUUGGUGGGGUAAUGGCCUACCAAGACUGUGAUCAAUAGCUGAUUUGAGAGGAUGAUCAGCCACAUUGGGACUGAGACACGGCCCAAACUCCUACGGGAGGCAGCAGUGGGGAAUCUUGCACAAUGGAGGAAACUCUGAUGCAGCGAUGCCGCGUGAGUGAAGAAGGCCCUUGGGUUGUAAAGCUCUUUCGUCGGGGAAGAAAAUGACUGUACCCGAAUAAGAAGGUCCGGCUAACUUCGUGCCAGCAGCCGCGGUAAU